GUUCAGUUUUGAUAGGCCUGCACAGAAACCAGCCUGGACAGCAGACCCAGGAGCAGCAAUAGAGAUCACAAGAGCACUUUUUCUUCAAGCAGUGUGAUGUUAGAACAGUUUAUUAAAGAAACCAAACACAGUUCUGUGUCCUUAGUAGUUUUUUUGGCUGAUUGCAUUCUGGCAGGCUCAGAGAACACAGUGAUUAUGUACUAAAAGAGGUGCAUCUUCGUAUGCUUCAAGCAUGCCCUUCUCUCUGCCAUUAAUUGACCCCAUCACUCAGGUGUCCUCCAGCCCAUAAUCACCCUUGCCCAAAGGCUGUCAGGCUGUGGUUGUAUCAGGAGGCCUUUCAACUUUGAGUCAUUUGCCCCUUUGGGAACCCAGCUGAGGUUAACCUCAGUUAAUUACCAGAUUGCUCUCAGGUGUGUUCUGUUGGGGGAUCUCAAACCAAUGCCCAGAGCACAACAGAGCAUUGUACAGAUCCACGUAAGCUGGAGCUGAGGGAGCUGCCCUGGGAUUAAAUUCAUCACAGAGAACCAACUUGAAGCAGUUUAUAAGUCGAGGUCUGUGUUCAAAGCAGCCCUCACUGUCCUUUUAGUCCCUGAGUCUCAAUGGAGGUCAUAGAAUCACAGAAUGGUUGGGGUUGAAAGGGACCCAUAAAGGCCAUCUGGUGCCACCCCUGCACCGAACAGGGACACCUACAGCUCCAUCAGUGCUCACAGCCCAUCUUCUGACCUUGGCUAUCUGCAGGAAUAGAAAACCAUUGCCUCUCUGGACAACCUGGGAUGGUGAUGCCUUGAGUGGGGAGCAGAGCAGUGUGAACCCAUGGGAGGUGAUGAAGACAUGCAGCCCAAGGAGACAUAUUGCACCGGAUGGGGGAAUGUGUGUGAUGCCCUUACCACAACAGAACCUGCGAUGAGUUAUGAUGUGAAACAGUCCUGCACAGAGCAAGAGGAACCACUGCUGCUCCAGAGAAACCACUGCUCCGAGGCCUCUCGGUCUGGUGACUGCUGCCAGAGCACUGGAAACACUCUGAGCUGAGCUGAACCUUCCUGGGUUUUGAUCCUCUGAGUGGCUGUGUAAACAUGGACCAGCUGCUUCCACCUUCCGUGCUUCCUGGAGUGGUUCCCAAACAAAAGCACGCUUGCUAUAAAUUUCCAGUGCCACUUUGGCAGCUCAUGUAUUGACUUUUCCAUUUUCCUUUUCUGGAUUUUGUUUCCUCUCACCUUUUAAGUUUCUUCUUUUUUCCCCAAAGGAGUACUUAUGUUCUCAGAUUAAAAACAGAAGUUUGUUCAGGUUGAUUGUGAGUGUGCUGUCAAACGGUAUUUUCCAUAUAAAAAUAUUUAUUUUAUUUUAAACCACAUCUUUCUGAUGGAAGAAGGGUUUAAAAGAGUCAGCGUAUGGGAGCUUCUGUGCAUAAAUGUUUCAGUGGUUCUGUUAUUUCAUGGAGCAAAAUAAGAGUGCAAAGGGUAGCCCAUUUCUUUUGCUGCUGGCUCCUUCCCUUCUGACCGUAGUGAAGCCCAAAUGUGAGCUGCAAGUGGACUCCGUGCUGUUGUCUCCCAGAGAACUGGAUAAUUCAAUGUACAUGAACAAGCAUCACCCAAAAAGGUUGACCUCAGUGAUCUCCCCAGGUCCCUUCCAUCCCCUAUGACUCUAUGAUGCUGCUCCUUGGACACAAUGGCUGGUCUCUGGCUAUCGUGUAAACCCAGCAAAGCAAGUACAGGCCCACAGUAGCUGACCUGCCAGGUGGUGUUUAUUGCAGUCAUGUGUUACGUAAUUGGUGGAGAAAGUGGUUUUAAUUGGGCUGCACACAGGUCUCCAGUGAAAUAGAUUCUUAACUUUUGAAAAUCAAUAGGUAGACUCAAUAUGCAGUAAAGAUUAAGGCUGUUACUGAUUAAAUAUCACUCCUUCUUUCCCUGAGGACAUAAAGUUUACCUCUUUAACUGCUUGAGCUCUUAAGAGAGGCUUCCAGAGAAGGUGAAGAAAUCUUGAUUUUCUCAGUAUUUAAAAGGAGUAAUCCUAUCAUACCUCUUUCUGUUCCCAGGCCCCCUGUGUAUAUUCCAAUUAAAAGCUCAACCUUCCGGAUUUUUCCAGAUCCAUACAGAUCUUUGAGAAUAACAUUAGCUGGUACUUCUUAACGCGUUCUGAGUGGUUGGAGUGAUGUUUCCAAGGAGCUGAAGGCAUGGCUGUGGUUGGCAAGGCGGUGUGAAAAGUCCUUCAUCUCAAAGUGCUGCUUUUCAUACAUUAUAUUUCCUCUUCUGCCUUGACAGCAUCCAUUUUGCAGAAAACAAUAAUGAGAGAGAAAACAAGAGGUUUUAUCCCAGGGCCAUGUCACCAAAGGCCAGGCUGGAGCCUGAAACUUGGUAAUGAAGACAUCUGCCUAUCUUUAACUUGUUGUUCCUGCUCCACUGUACCCUUUGGAGACCUUGCCACAAACAAAGUGUUGCAUGACAUACAAAUCUGGAACUGAAGAGCCUCUUCUGCACGAAUCUCAGCUCCCUCCUGCCACCCAUGCCUGGCGAAUUAUAAGUGAGGAAAGCCUCCUAACAGCACUGAGAGGCUACUGAAGUCAUAGGGAGUGCAGCAGAUCAUAUCUGGAGGUACAAAAGCAACUUGAGCAUCUCACUGAUACAAGCCCUUCUUUCUCUCCAGCAGUUGUUAUCCAGCCUGACCUUCUCCCUGCUCUCCAUCUGUGCUAAUUAGACCAGGCUUUGAGGUAUCAGUCGUUUCUGUGUGUUUUUAUUUUGUCACAGAAUUUCUAGCAAUUUAGCCAAUUGUGUUACAAAUUAACCUUUGUCAUUCUCUUAUGGAGAAAUGGUGUUGACCCCUGAUUAAUGCCUUGUGAAGCUGUUGGCAGCCAUGCUGUGAGUUAGUUCUGCUGGGCUGGUGAAUUCAGGGCAGUUCUUCCUGUUGCAAUUGAAAUGCAGAACUUGCAAUGUGGCUGCACCAGUAGCAGCAUGUCAACAAACAUGUAAACCCAGCAGUUUUCAUAGAAUCAUAGGGGUUGGAAGGGACCUCUAGAGGUCAUUGAGUCCAACUGCCCUGCUAAAGCAUGUUCUCUACAAUGGGUUGAACAGGAAAGUUUUAUAUGGCAGGCAGAAGAAACCUGAAUCUAUAAAUUAAAAGGAGAGCAAUGAAAUGGAAUUUGUAAUACAAAUUAUUGUUUUUGAUUCUGCCUUAUCUUUCAGUGUGGGGAAAAAAAGUCAUAGAAUUGUUACAGUUGGAGAAGA